rnacentral:tRNA from 1 species
AAUAAAGUCAGCUAAAUAAGCUAUCGGGCCCAUACCCCGAAAAUGCCAGACGGCCUUUAUUA